UACCGUGAGGGAAAGGCGAAAAGAACCCCGGCGAGGGGAGUGAAAAAGAACCUGAAACCGUGUACGUACAAGCAGUGGGAGCCCCACCACCAAAGCAUUUGCUGUACCGUGUUGACGGAGCGAAGCGACGUCAAACCGAUAAAACAGCAGUGUAAAGUGAGCCGCAGGGCGCUUUGCGCGACAGCGCAAAGGCAGGCGGUUUCGCGUAGCGAAAGCGAAUGCUUUGGGGUGGGGUGACUGCGUACCUUUUGUAUAAUGGGUCAGCGACUUAUAUUCUGUAGCAAGGUUAACCGAAUAGGGGAGCCGGAGGGAAAC
rnacentral:rRNA from 1 species